CUGCACUAGGACUAGGUAGACUGCCCAUCCAAGCCGGAGGCAACAUACUGGUGUGCUCGUGCACAGUCUGGAACAGAGGUGGCAAUGCAGCGUAAACUAAUGUUGUUUCUUUCAUGGCUGAAUUUGCAGCACCUGAUCCAUCUCUGGCCUCUCCGUUUGACCAAACACUAAUCUUAGGUUGUAGUCCUUGGAUCGCCUCAGCAUUGUAGUGCUGGUGGAUUCAAUGAAGAUGAGGCUCGCUUUUUCUUCCAGCAGCUAAUAUCUGGUGUUAGUUACUGUCAUUCAAUGGAAAUCUGUCACAGGGACUUGAAGCUGGAAAACACACUUUUGGAUGGGAGUCCAACACCACGUCUUAAAAUAUGUGAUUUUGGUUAUUCUAAGUCCGGUUUGUUGCACUCACAACCCAAAUCGGCAGUUGGAACACCAGCAUAUAUUGCACCUGAGGUCCUGUCAAGGAAGGAAUAUGAUGG